CCUGGUGGAGAAAAGUGAUAUAAUUAUUAGGAUUGGUUGCCAUAAUAACGAACUAAAAGUGAACGAAUUAGGCAAAGGUCAUAUGUUGUAAUGAUGUUGGUGAGUGAUUAUUUUUCAGUUAUGUUCAUCAUUGGUAAGGUUUACUAGGAGGCUAAAAAGACCAAACAUAUGUCAAAAGAUUCGGAAAAGAAUUCGAACUUUUUUUUUUUUUUUGGAGAAAAUGAUUUCCAUGAUUUUGUUUUUCAAGUUAGUUAUGAGACAAUCUUACUUUUUUUUUUCCUAUUUAAUAUACAUAAUAGUGUACUGAUCUUUUCAACAUAGAUAUAGAAAUUUCAAUUGAAAUGAUGGUUUAUGGAUUUUAUAUUUAUUUGUAAGAUAAGAAAUUUAAAUCUUGAAUUUUUGAUAUAGAAAAUAUUUGCA
rnacentral:lncRNA from 1 species